rnacentral:tRNA from 2 species
UGGGGCGUGGCCAAGCGGUAAGGCAGCGGCUUUUGAUGCCGAAGAGCGUAGGUUCGAAUCCUACCGCCCCAACCA